rnacentral:antisense_RNA from 1 species
CUCUAUGGGCGGGCCGUGGUGAGGGGGCCGCAAGGUCCGCCGGUUUGGUUCAUCUCCCGGUCUGUCAACCUCGCUACGUGCCCGCUCACCCCA